rnacentral:tRNA from 2 species
GGGCGCUUAGCUCAGGGGGAGAGCGCUUCCUUGACACGGAAGAGGUCAGAGGUUCAAAUCCUCUAGCGCCCA